UUUAUCUCUUCAUUAUAUUGAUUUUUUAGCAGAAGGACAAUUUAAUUAUAAAGAUUUAAGUAAGCAGCAGAUGAAGGUUAAAGAAGCUUCAACUUUAUCAGACAAAUUCCCUUACAUCUGACAAUGGAAGCUCGGUGGAGGAAACAGACAGCUCAUAAUCCUCUUGUUUAUUCUCUGGCAAUGGGAUAAAUAUUGGCUGCUCGUUAGGAUUACCAUCGCCAACACCGGUUUGAAUCUUAUCGCCCUCCACACGAUGCAGAUUAUCCUGCCCAGUGAGACUGUACUCUGGCUGAUUCUGUGCGUGAUUCACUGUGACAUCGUGAAGAGAUGGAUAGUUCUCGGUGGUGCUGACAAUGGUGGACGGGUAAUUCUCGGGAGUAUAGUCGUUCAAGCUCGACGAUGAAUCCAGUUGACGAAGAAUACUCGACUCUGGCCUGGUCGGUUGGAUGAACCCGUUUGACGUAGGGGAAUUCGAAUCGCCUUGGGGUACAGUAUCAUACGAUUGCUCGGUCUGCGGGCUCUGAGCGUGUCCGAGAACCUAUUGACAUUGGAAUAGUAUUUGUGUGCAAAUUGUUGAAGUUGGAAUGCUGGCGGCAAGGAGAGCUGCGGAAGUUGAGGUAGCUGCGCGCUUCCGCUCGCCAAGGGUGCCGCAGCUGGGUUAUUUUGUUCGAGUUGAGUUUGCGUCGCCCUAGGAUUCGCUAACGGUAUCCAUUCGCUGUUUGACACUUGUCGCGACCAUCUUUCGGCUUGUACAACGUCGAAUUUUACCGACAGUAUCAAACAGGUCGAUACCGUUAAUGCUAAACACCUCCGC
rnacentral:misc_RNA from 1 species